GGGGGAGGAGGCACGGGAGAAGCCUGGAAACCAGCAGAGAGCACCCCGGGGUGGAUGCCUGGGAAGCUGGAGGAGCUAAAAUGAUGGCUGGACUCGCAAGAGAAUGUGACCCUGAGGACCGACUUCUGCUCCCCAAGAGAGACAAGUCAGCAACCUACACAGGGGGAGGGUUCCCCGGAUCCGGGUUGGAGUCCAAUAGCUGGCUGGGGUUGGACAAGCUAGAUGGGGGUGCUUACCUGGGUUCUCUGGGGAAACUCAGGUUGCAUUUGGGAGAACCUGGGUCCCAGAAACUCCCUAACCUCAGCUCCUCCGGGCUCCUCCUGUUCUCGCCUGGCCAGAAGAGUGAAACCGGGGCUGGCAGCUCAAAAAAGAAGGCUUUGUUCUGAAACUUCAGGAUCCCAGGAUGAGGGGUACACAGAGACAGGAUACCAGAGACGGAGAGAUGGAGCCGCUCAGAGAGGCUCCAAGAGACCCAUAAACCCAAGAUCCCAGAAACAUGGGCAGGGAACCCCGGAGCAGGCAGAAACGCGAAGCCGCUUCGAAGAUUGUGGAAGAGCCAGAGUGUGCAAGGUAGGGGGGCUGCCCCAGUGGAGCCUGCCCCCCGCGCGCAGAGGUCACACUCGGCAAUGCACAGAGGUUACUCCUGGCUCUGCACUCAGGAAUUACUCCUUGCGGUGCUCAUGGGACCCAUAUGGGAUGCUGGGACUCAAACCCGGGUUGGUCACACAAGGCAAACACCCUACCUGCUGUGCUAUCUCUCCAGCCCCUCUUAUUUCCCAUUUUCUAAAAUAUACUGGCUAGAAUAUU